rnacentral:rRNA from 1 species
AGUUCGAUCAUGGCUCAGAUUGAACGCUGGCGGGAUGCUUACAUGCAAGUCAGGCAGCGGCACGGACUUCGGUCUGGUGGCGAGUGGCGAACGGGUGAGUAAUGUAUCGGAACGUGCCCUAGUAGCGGGGGAUAACUACGCAGCGCGUAGCUAAUACCGCAUACGCCCUUCGGGAAAGCGGGGGACCUUCCCGGGCCUCGCACUGAAGCGGCCGAUAUCGGAUUAGCUAGUUGGUGGGGUAACGGCUCACCAAGGCGACGAUCCGUAGCUGGUUUGAGAGGACGACCAGCCACACUGGGACUGAGACACGGCCCAGACUCCUGCGAGCAGCAGUGGGGAAUUUUGGACAAUGGAAACCCCCUGAUCGGCCAUCCCGCGUGUGCGAUGAAGGCCUUCAGGGUUUGUAAAGCACUUUUUUGGCAGGAAAGAAACGGCACAGGAUAAUACCCCGUACAACUGACGGUACCUGCAGAAUAAGCACCGGCUAAUACGUGCCAGCAGCCGCGGUAAUACGUAGGGUGCAAGCGUUAAUCGGAAUUACUGGGCGUAAAGCGUGCGCAGGCGGUUCGGAAAGAUGUAGAAAUCCCAGGCUUAACUGGAACUGCAUUUUUAACUACCGAGCUAGAAAUUAUGUCAGAGGAGGUGGAAUUCCGCGUGUAGCAGUGAAAUGCGUAGAUAUGCGGAGGAACACCGAUGGCGAAGGCAGCCUCCUGGGAUAACAUGACACUCAUGCACAGCGGUGGGGAGCAAACAGGUUAGAUACCCUGGUAGUCCACGCCCUAAACGUGUCAACUAGCUGUUGAGGCUGGGCUGGUGGCCCGCAGCUAACGCGAAGAGUUGACCGCCUGGGAAAUUACGGUCACCGUUAAAACUCAAAGGAAUUGACGGGGACCCGCAAGCGGUGGAUGAUGUGGAUUAAUUCCGAUGCAACGCGAAAAAUAACACCUACCCAUGGCGACAUGUCUGGAAUCCCGAAGAGAGAUUUGGGAGUGCUCGCAAGAAGAACCGGAACACAGGUGCUGCGCCGCUGUCGUCGGCCCGUGUCGUGAGAUGUUGGGUUAAGUCCCGCAACAGCGCAACCUUGUCAUUAGUUGCUGCAGAAGGGCAGCACUCUAAUGAGACUGCCGGUGACAAACCGGAGGAAGGUGGGGAUGACGUCAAGUCCCUCGCGGCCCUUAUGGGGUAGGGCUUCACACGUCAUACAAUGGUCCGGGACAGAGGGGUCGCCAACCCGCGAGGAGCCAAUCCCAGGAAACCCGAUCGUAGUCGGAUCGCGGUCUGCAACUCGACUGCGUGAGAAGUCGGAAUCAUGUGUCCAUAGCGAAUCAGCAUGUCGCCGGUGAACCUACGUUCCAGGUCUUGGCCACACCGCCCGUCACACCAUGGAGUGGGUUUACCCCGAAGUAGCCUAACCGUAAGGAGGGCGAUUACCACGGUAAGUUCAUGACUGAGGUGAAGUCGUAACAGGUAG